UGGAUCUUAAUAGGUCAUCCGGGUGUUGGAUAUCCCGGUUUAGGCAGAUGUAGGCGACAGGUAGGCAAAUCCGCCUGUCAUAUACCGAGGCUGCCGAUCGAGCGAGCUUGCUCGCGAAGUGAUUGAACGAGGUUCCAGGAAAAGCCACUAAGCUUCAGCUACACACGACCGUACCGCAAACCGACACUGGUGCGCGAGAUGAGUAUUCUAAGGCGCUUGAGAGAACUCGGGAGAAGGAACUCGGCAAAUUGACACCGUAACUUCGGAAGAAGGUGUGCCCUAUUAGUGUGAAGUGAACAACGGAGCAUGAAUGGGUUGCAAAAAAUCGGUGGCUGCGACUGUUUAUUAAAAACACAGCACUCUGCAAACACGAAAGUGGACGUAUAGGGUGUGACGCCUGCCCGGUGCUGGAAGAUUAAAUGAUGGGGUGCAAGCUCUUGAUUGAAGUCCCAGUAAACGGCGGCCGUAACAAUAACGGUCCUAAGGUAGCGAAAUUCCUUGUCGGGUAAGUUCCGACCUGCACGAAUGGCGUAACGAUGGCCACACUGUCUCCUCCCGAGACUCAGCGAAGUUGAAAUGUUUGUGAUGAUGCAAUCUCCCCGCGGAAAGACGGAAAGACCCCAUGAACCUUUACUGUAGCUUUGUAUUGGACUUUGAACAGAUCUGUGUAGGAUAGGUGGGAGGCUUUGAAGCAGGGUCGCUAGAUCUUGUGGAGCCAACGUUGAAAUACCACCCUGGUGUGUUUGAGGUUCUAACCUAGGUCCAUUAUCUGGAUCGGGGACAGUGCAUGGUAGGCAGUUUGACUGGGGCGGUCUCCUCCCAAAGCGUAACGGAGGAGUUCGAAGGUACGCUAGUUACGGUCGGACAUCGUGACGAUAGUGCAAUGGCAUAAGCGUGCUUAACUGCGAGACUGACAAGUCGAGCAGAUGCGAAAGCAGGACAUAGUGAUCCGGUGGUUCUGUAUGGAAGGGCCAUCGCUCAACGGAUAAAAGGUACUCUGGGGAUAACAGGCUGAUACCGCCCAAGAGUUCAUAUCGACGGCGGUGUUUGGCACCUCGAUGUCGGCUCAUCUCAUCCUGGGGCUGUAGCCGGUCCCAAGGGUAUGGCUGUUCGCCAUUUAAAGAGGUACGUGAGCUGGGUUUAAAACGUCGUGAGACAGUUUGGUCCCUAUCUUCCGUGGGCGCUGCAGAUUUGAGGAAGCCUGCUUCUAGUACGAGAGGACCGGAGUGGACGCACCUCUGGUGUAUCGGUUGUCACGCCAGUGGCAUUGCCGAGUAGCUAUGUGCGGAAGAGAUAACCGCUGAAAGCAUCUAAGCGGGAAACUCGUUCCAAGAUGAGAUCUGCCGGGGCCUUGAGCCCCCUAAAGACUCGUUCAAGACCAGGACGUUGAUAGGUCGGGUGUGGAAGCGCAGUAAUGCGUUAAGCUAACCGAUACUAAUUGCUCGUGCGGCUUGACCCC
rnacentral:rRNA from 1 species